rnacentral:rRNA from 1 species
UACAGAGGUGCCGAGCGUUAGGCGGAGUCACUGGGCUUAAAGCGUGUGUAGGCGGAUGCCUAAGUACUUUGUGAAAUCCCCCGGCUUAACCGGGGAACUGCUUGGUAUACUGGGUGUCUUGAGCCACUUAGGGGCGACCGGAACAAACGGUGGAGCGGUGAAAUGCGUAGAUAUCGUUUGGAACGCCAAUGGUGAAAACAGGUCGCUGGGAGUGUGCUGACGCUGAGACACGAAAGCCAGGGGAGCGAACGGG